rnacentral:rRNA from 1 species
CCACUGGUGCGCGAGAUGAGUAUUCUAAGGCGCUUGAGAGAACUCAGGAGAAGGAACUCGGCAAAUUGACACCGUAACUUCGGAAGAAGGUGUGCCUUUAGUAGGUGAACCUGUACAAGGGGAGCCCAAUGAGGUUGCAAAAAAUCGGUGGCUGCGACUGUUUAAUAAAAACACAGCACUCUGCAAACACGAAAGUGGACGUAUAGGGUGUGACGCCUGCCCGGUGCUGGAAGAUUAAAUGAUGGGGUGCAAGCUCUUGAUUGAAGUCCCAGUAAACGGCGGCCGUAACUAUAACGGUCCUAAGGUAGCGAAAUUCCUUGUCGGGUAAGUUCCGACCUGCACGAAUGGCGUAACGAUGGCCACACUGUCUCCUCCUGAGACUCAGCGAAGUUGAAAUGUUUGUGAUGAUGCAAUCUCCCCGCGGAAAGACGGAAAGACCCCAUGAACCUUUACUGUAGCUUUGUAUUGGACUUUGAACAGAUCUGUGUAGGAUAGGUGGGAGGCUUUGAAGUGUGGUCGCUAGAUCGCAUGGAGCCAACGUUGAAAUACCACCCUGGUGUGUUUGAGGUUCUAACCUAGGCCCGUAAUCCGGGUCGGGGACAGUGCAUGGUAGGCAGUUUGACUGGGGCGGUCUCCUCCCAAAGCGUAACGGAGGAGUUCGAAGGUACGCUAGGUACGGUCGGACAUCGUGCUAAUAGUGCAAUGGCAUAAGCGUGCUUAACUGCGAGACUGACAAGUCGAGCAGAUGCGAAAGCAGGACAUAGUGAUCCGGUGGUUCUGUAUGGAAGGGCCAUCGCUCAACGGAUAAAAGGUACUCUGGGGAUAACAGGCUGAUACCGCCCAAGAGUUCAUAUCGACGGCGGUGUUUGGCACCUCGAUGUCGGCUCAUCUCAUCCUGGGGCUGUAGCCGGUCCCAAGGGUAUGGCUGUUCGCCAUUUAAAGAGGUACGUGAGCUGGGUUUAAAACGUCGUGAGACAGUUUGGUCCCUAUCUUCCGUGGGCGCUGCAGAUUUGAGGAAGCCUGCUCCUAGUACGAGAGGACCGGAGUGGACACACCUCUGGUGUAUCGGUUGUCACGCCAGUGGCAUUGCCGAGUAGCUAUGUGUGGAAGAGAUAACCGCUGAAAGCAUCUAAGCGGGAAACUCGUUUCAAGAUGAGAUCUGCCGGGGCCUUGAGCCCCCUAAAGAGUCGUUCAAGACCAGGACGUUGAUAGGUCGGGUGUGGAAGCGCAGUAAUGCGUUAAGCUAACCGAUACUAAUUGCUCGUGCGGCUUGACC